rnacentral:rRNA from 1 species
ACGCUGGCGGCAGGCCUAACACAUGCAAGUCGAGCGGCAGCGGGAAGUAGUUUACUACUUUGCCGGCGAGCGGCGGACGGGUGAGUAAUGUCUGGGAAACUGCCUGAUGGAGGGGGAUAACUACUGGAAACGGUAGCUAAUACCGCAUGACCUCGUAAGAGCAAAGUGGGGGACCUUCGGGCCUCACGCCAUCGGAUGUGCCCAGAUGGGAUUAGCUAGUAGGUGGGGUAAUGGCUCACCUAGGCGACGAUCCCUAGCUGGUCUGAGAGGAUGACCAGCCACACUGGAACUGAGACACGGUCCAGACUCCUACGGGAGGCAGCAGUGGGGAAUAUUGCACAAUGGGCGCAAGCCUGAUGCAGCCAUGCCGCGUGUGUGAAGAAGGCCUUCGGGUUGUAAAGCACUUUCAGCGAGGAGGAAGGCAGUCGUGUUAAUAGCACGGUUGAUUGACGUUACUCGCAGAAGAAGCACCGGCUAACUCCGUG